UACAGAGGUCCCGAGCGUUGUUCGGAUUCACUGGGCGUAAAGGGUGCGUAGGUGGCUUGGAAAGUUUGAUGUGAAAGCUCAGGGCUUAACCCUGAAAUGGCAUUGAAUACUGCCGGGCUGGAGGUUUGGAGGGGGGACUGGAAUUCUUGGUGUAGCAGUGAAAUGCGUAGAUAUCAAGAGGAACACCAGUGGCGAAGGCGAGUCUCUGGACAGUUACCGACGCUGAGGCACGAAGGUCAGGGGAGCAAACGGG
rnacentral:rRNA from 1 species